AACGGUCUAUACCUGCGGUACCUGCGGAAGGAUCAUUACAGAGUUACUACUCCAAACCCAUUGUGAACCUUACCUAUGUUCUGUUGCCUCGGCGGCGUGGUCAGCGCCCCUCUGAAAAGAGGACGAUGCCCUCCCGCCGGCAGCACCAAACUCUUUGAAUUUUACAGCGGAUUACAGUUCUGAUUUGAAAACAAAAAAACAAGUUAAAACUUUUAACAAUGGAUCUCUAGAUCGGAAGAG
rnacentral:misc_RNA from 1 species